rnacentral:rRNA from 1 species
UAUUGGUCAAUGGUCGGGAGACUGAACCAGCCAAGCCGCGUGAGGGAGGAAGGUACAGAGUAUCGUAAACCUCUUUUGCCGGGGAGUANNGCGGCGGACGUGUCCGCCGUUUGAGAGUACCGGGAGAAAAAGCAUCGGCUAACUCCGUGCCAGCAGCCGCGGUAAUACGGAGGAUGCGAGCGUUAUCCGGAUUUAUUGGGUUUAAAGGGUGCGUAGGCGGGCUUUUAGGUCAGCGGUAAAAAUUCGGGGCUCAACCCCGUCCGGCCGUUGAAACUGGGGGCCUUGAGUGGGCGAGAAGAAGGCGGAAUGCGUGGUGUAGCGGUGAAAUGCAUAGAUAUCACGCAGAACCCCGAUUGCGAAGGCAGCCUUCCGGCGCCCUACUGACGCUGAGGCACGAAAGUGCGGGGAUCG